UGAGUACGAGAUGCUACGGCAUCGAAGCAGUCUAUGUCAUACUUCCAAGAAAAGCUUGCAAUGUCAUAAACAAAUAAUGCCUGUACCAUAACCGACACAGGUGGGUAGGUAGAGUAUACUAAGGGGCGCGAGAUAACUCUCUCUAAGGAACUCGGCAAAAUGACUCCGUAACUUCGGGAGAAGGAGUGCCUUAUUUUUAUAAGGUUGCAAUAACAAGAUCCAAGCAACUGUUUACCAAAAACACAGGUCUCCGCUAAGUCGUAAGACGAUGUAUGGGGGCUGACGCCUGCCCAGUGCCAGAAGGUUAAAGAAGUUGGUUAGCAUUAGCGAAGCUGAUAACUGAAGCCCUGGUGAACGGCGGCCGUAACGAUAACGGUCCUAAGGUAGCGAAAUUCCUUGUCGGGUAAGUUCCGACCCGCACGAAAGGCGUAAUGAUUUGGAUACUGUCUCGGAGAGGGGCUCGGUGAAAUAGACUUGUCUGUGAAGAUGCGGACUACCUGCACCUGGACAGAAAGACCCUAUGAAGCUUUACUGUAACUUGAGAUUGAAAUUGGACUUUAUCUGCGCAGUAUAGGUGGGAGACGUUGAAAAUAUUCUUGCGGGAAUAUUGGAGUCAUCAGUGAGAUACCACUCUUAUAAUGUUAGAUUUCUAACUUUGUAUCAUUAUCUGGUCAAAGAACAGUUUCAGGCGGGCAGUUUGACUGGGGCGGUCGCCUCCCAAACGGUAACGGAGGCGCACAAAGGUUCCCUCUGAACGUGUAGAAAUCGUAUCUAGAGUGUAAAGGCAUAAGGAAGCUUGACUGUGAGACCUACAAGUCGAGCAGGGACGAAAGUCGGUCUUAGUGAUCUGACGGUGCUGAGUGGAAAGGCCGUCACUCAACGGAUAAAAGUUACUCUAGGAUAACAGGCUGAUCUCCCCCAAGAGUUCACAUCGACGGGGAGGUUUGGCACCUCGAUGUCGGCUCAUCGCAUCCUGGGGCGGUAGUACGUCCCAAGGGUUGGGCUGUUCGCCCAUGAAAGCGGUACGCGAGCUGGGUUCAGAACGUCGUGAGACAGUUCGGUCCAUAUCCGGUGUAGGCGUUAGAAUAUUGAGAGGAGCCUUCUUUAGUACGAGAGGACCGAGAAGGACAUACCUCUGGUGUACCAGUUAUCGUGCCAACGGUAAACGCUGGGUUGCCAUGUAUGGAGAGGAUAACCGCUGAAAGCAUCUAAGUGGGAAGCCCACCUCAAGAUAAGUAUUC
rnacentral:rRNA from 1 species